rnacentral:lncRNA from 1 species
CCUGGAACUCAGCCAUGGUGGUGUGUCACUUUGUACUUUGCAGACAAGGGCAUCACCUUUGAUGUGUCGGAGGCACUUCAGUGAAAGAAUUUUGGCUCCUAAAGAUUUUGCAGAACAGAGAUGACAUGCCAGCCCAGACUUUCAUCAUCUCCACCUUCCACGAAAUGGGUGGUCUGUUUCUUCAUUCUGCCUCAUGGAGAAGAUACUUUGAAGGACCACAGGAAGUUAUGUGCUUCUUUGAAGCGUUUUCCAACAGUAUGGACCUCAUGAAUCACAUCCUCCAUACAGAUGAUGCCAUAUUUUCCAAGAGAUCGUGCAAAGCGUUAUCUGUCAAAGCAAUUCGUUUCUUAUUGAUUUUGCCAUAACCACGCUUGUAGAUUAGUUUAUUUACUGACUUCAGAUUUAGGUACCCGCAUGCAAUGUAUGGCUCUACAAUCCUCAGCAUGUUAAUUGGCCUUCACAAAGGUUCCAUUGAAGAUUUGACAAAGGCAAAGAAGCUGCAACACAUUUCGGACCUUUGGGCUCACACCAUCGAUACCUCUGAUCCUGAUGACAAACGCCAGUCUGGAUUCUGCAGUUCCAGGAGGCCAUGAAUUCUGGGAGGACACCGUUAACCCACUACAGCCAUCGAGAACAGCAGCAGGAGGCUGGAUGCGGUGGCUCACACCUGUCAUCCCGGCACUUUGGGGGACCUACGCAGCAGGAUCGCUUGAGCCCAGAUGUUUGAGACCAGCCUG